rnacentral:rRNA from 1 species
AGGGCAGACGGUGGAUGCCUUGGCUCUCGGAGGCGAAGAAGGACGUGAUAAGCUGCGAUAAGCGCGGGGGAUGUGCAAAUAACAAUUGAUCCCGUGAUUUCCGAAUGGGGCAACCCGGCAGGUUGAAGGCCUGUCAUUCCGUAAGGAAGGCAAACGUGGGGAACUGAAACAUCUAAGUACCCAUAGGAGAAGAAAACAAAAGUGAUUCCCCAAGUAGUGGCGAGCGAACGGGGAACAGCCCAAACCUAUGCUGUUGAGGCAGUAUAGGGGUUGUAGGACUACGAUGUGGCAAGAAAUUAGUAAAGUGGAACGUUUUGGAAAGAACGACGACAGAGGGUGACAGUCCCGUACACGACUUACUGACGAAGCCUAGUAGUAUCCUGAGUAGCGCGGGACACGAGAAAUCCUGUGUGAAACUGCGGGGCCCAUCCCGUAAGGCUAAAUACUCCCGAGAGACCGAUAGCGAACCAGUACUGUGAAGGAAAGGUGAAAAGAACCUCGAACAGAGGAGUGAAAUAGACCCUGAAACCGUCUGCCUACAAGCGGUCGGAGCAUCUAUAAGAUGUGACGGCGUGCCUUUUGCAUAAUGAACCUACGAGUUACUGUCAUUGGCAAGGUUAAGGACUUCAGGUCCGGAGCCGAAGCGAAAGCGAGUCUUAAUAGGGCGCUUAGUCAGUGGUAGUAGACGCGAAACCAAGUGAUCUACCCUUGGUCAGGUUGAAGGUUAGGUAACACUAACUGGAGGACCGAAUCGGUAAGCGUUGAAAAGCUUUCGAAUGAACUGAGGGUAGGGGUGAAAGGCUAAUCAAACUUGGAGAUAGCUCGUACUCCCCGAAAUGCAUUUAGGUGCAGCCUUUGUUAUUACUAGUAUGAGGUAGAGCGACUGAUUGGAUGCGAGGGCUUCACCGCCUAUCAAGUCCAGAUAAACUCCGAAUGCGUAUUAGUUUAGACAAGGAGUGAGGGCAUGGGUGCUAAGGUCCAUGUCCGAGAGGAGAAGAAUCCAGACCAUCAGCUAAGGUCCCCAAAUAACAGCUAAGUUGAAUUAACGAAGUCAGAUUGCAAAGACAGCUAGGAUGUUGGCUUGGAAGCAGCCAUUCAUUUAAAGAGUGCGUAACAGCUCACUAGUCGAGGAAUUUGGCGUGGAUAAUAAUCGGGCAUAAGCUGUUUACCGAAGCUAUGGAAUCAUUUAAUUAUGAUUGGUAGGGGAGCAUUCUGCUCGGCUUAGAAGGUAAGGGGUAACCCUUGCUGGAGCGUGCAGAAAAGCAAAUGUAGGUAUAAGUAACGAUAAAGGAGGUGAGAAACCUCCUCGCCGAAAGACUAAGGAUUCCUGAUCAACGUUAAUCGGAUCAGGGUAAGUCGGGACCUAAGGAUAAGCCGAACGGCGAUUCCGAUGGAAGAAUGGGUUAAUAUUCCCAUACUACUUUAUAGAGCGAUGUGGAGACGGAGAAGUGACAGUCCUGCUGCCUGACGGAAUAGGUAGUUGAAGGGUGUAGACGUUGAUCGGGGUAGGCAAAUCCGCCCUGAGAGUCGAACCUGAUAGUAUGCGGAGUGCUUGCACGAAGCAAUAUGGAUGUAAACAGGCUCCCAAGAAAAUCUGCUAAGCAUAAUUUAUAGAGUACCCGUACCGUAAACGGACACACGUAGUUGGGUUGAGUAUACUAAGGCGCUCGAGUGAUUCACGGUUAAGGAACUAGGCAAAAUAGUCCUGUAACUUCGGGAGAAAGGACGCCACUGGCGACAGUGGCCGCAGAGAAUAGAUUCUGGCGACUGUUUAACAAAAACACAUGGCUAUGCGAAUUCGAAAGAAGCUGUAUAUAGCCUGACACCUGCCCGGUGCUGGAAGGUUAAGAGGAGAUGUCAUCGCAAGAGAAGCAUUGAAUUGAAGCCCCAGUAAACGGCGGCCGUAACUAUAACGGUCCUAAGGUAGCGAAAUUCCUUGUCGGGUAAGUUCCGACCUGCACGAAUGGUGUAACGAUCUGGGCACUGUCUCAACCGUGAGCUCGGUGAAAUUGUAGUAUCGGUGAAGAUGCCGAUUACCCGCGAUGGGACGAAAAGACCCCGUGAACCUUUACUAUAGCUUUACAUUGCAUUUGGGUAAUUAAUGUGUAGGAUAGGCCGGAGGCUACGAAGCGGGCACGCCAGUGUUUGUGGAGCCGACGUUGAAAUACGGCCCUUUGAUUAUUUGAAUUCUAACUCCCGGUAUGGGAGGACACUGUAUGGUGGGUAGUUUGACUGGGGUGGUCGCCUCCAAAAGUGUAACGGA